GAUGAAGAACGUAGCGAAAUGCGAUAAGUAAUGUGAAUUGCAGAAUUCAGUGAAUCAUCGAAUCUUUGAACGCACAUUGCGCCCGCUAGUAUUCUGGCGGGCAUGCCUGUCCGAGCGUCAUUUCAACCCUCGGGAGCCCCUUUGCGGGGGCUGCCGGUGUUGGGGAUCGCCCGCCGCCAUGGUGGACGUCCCCUAAAACGAUUGGCGGUCUCGCUGUAGCCUCCUCUGCGCAGUAGCACUUGUUCUCGCAGGCGGAGCGCGGCGCGGCCAAGCCGUUAAACCCCCAACUUUUUUACUAGGUUGACCUCGGAUCAGGUAGGAAUACCCGCUGAACUUAAGCAUAUCAAUAAGCGGAGGA
rnacentral:misc_RNA from 1 species